ACCAGGCGUGGUGGUGCAUGCCUGUAAUCCCAGUGGCUUGGGAGGCUGAGGCAGGAGGAUUGCAAGUUCAAAGCCAGCCUGAGCAAAAAUGAGGUGCUAAGCAACUCAGUGAGAUCCUGUCUGUA
rnacentral:sRNA from 1 species